rnacentral:rRNA from 1 species
AUACGGAGGAUGCGAGCGUUAUCCGGAUUUAUUGGGUUUAAAGGGUGCGUAGGCUGUGCGUUAAGUCAGGGGUGAAAUGCCGUCGCUCAACGACGGAGCUGCCCUUGAUACUGGCGUGCUGGAGUACGGAUGCCGUUGGAGGAAUGAGUGGUGUAGCGGUGAAAUGCUUAGAUAUCACUCAGAACACCGAUUGCGAAGGCAUCGGACGAAGCCGUCACUGACGCUGAGGCAUGAAAGCGUGGGGAUAGAACAGGAUUAGAUACCCUGGUAUUCCACGCCGUAAACGAGGAUGACUAACCGUCGGCGAUAGACAGCCGGUGGCCAAGCGAAAGCGAUAAGUCAUCCACCUGGGGAGUACGUCGGCAACGAUGAAACUCAAAUGAAUUGACGGG